rnacentral:lncRNA from 1 species
CCAUGUGAGCACGGCUGUGAAGGGUAGUUUUGGUUACCUUGAUCCCGAGUACUUUAGGCGACAGCAACUCUCUGACAAAUCUGAUGUCUACUCUUUUGGAGUAGUGCUUUUCGAGGUGCUAUGUGCAAGACCAGCCAUAAAUCCUGCAUUACCAAGAGAGCAGGUCAGCUUGGCUGAGUGGGCAAUGCAGUGGCACAGAAAGGGGAUGCUUGAGAAAAUAAUCGAUCCUCACAUUGCAGGAAAAAUAUGCCCCCAAGCACUUAAGAAGUACGCAGAAGCUGCAGAGAAAUGUCUCGCAGAAUAUGGUGUUGAUAGGCCUGCAAUGAGUGAUGUUUUGUGGAACCUCGAGUCAGCAUUGCAGCUUGAAGAGGCCUCCGCCUCCUCUGGU